GAUGAACGCUAGCGGCAGGCCUAACACAUGCAAGUCGAGGGGUAUCAGGAUUAAGCUUGCUUAAUUGCUGACGACCGGCGCACGGGUGCGUAACGCGUAUGCAACCUACCUUAUAUUGGGGUAUAGCCCGGAGAAAUUCGGAUUAAUCCCCCAUAGUACUAAUGAAUCGCAUGGUUUAUUAGUUAAAGCAUUGCGGUAUAAGAUGGGCAUGCGUCCUAUUAGCUAGAUGGUGAGGUAACGGCUCACCAUGGCUACGAUAGGUAGGGGGCCUGAGAGGGUGGGCGCCCACACUGGUACUGGGACACGGGCCAGACGCCUACGGGAGGCAGCAGUGAGGAAUAUUGGUCAAUGGGCGCAAGCCUGAACCAGCCAUGCCGCGUGCAGGAAGAAUGCCCUAUGGGUUGUAAACUGCUUUUAUUUGGGAAUAAACCUCUUUACGUGUAGAGAGCUGAAGGUACCAAAUGAAUAAGCACCGGCUAACUCCGUGCCAGCAGCCGCCGUAA
rnacentral:rRNA from 1 species